rnacentral:tRNA from 1 species
UUAAGUCCGUAGCGUCUACCAAUUUCGCCAUAUCCCCUGGGGAUAGAGGGACUUGAACCCUCACGAUUUUUAAAGUCGACGGAUUUU